GCCCUUCUAGCCCAACUGGUAGAGGCGCCGGAUUUAGGAUCCGGAGGUUCGGGGUUCGACUCCCCGGAGGGGCA
rnacentral:tRNA from 2 species